rnacentral:rRNA from 1 species
UGCAGUCGAGCGGAGCGAGGGUGCUUGCACCUUAGCUUAGCGGCGGACGGGUGAGUAAUGCUUAGGAAUCUGCCUAUUAGUGGGGGACAACAUUCCGAAAGGGAUGCUAAUACCGCAUACGCCCUACGGGGGAAAGCAGGGGAUCUUCGGACCUUGCGCUAAUAGAUGAGCCUAAGUCGGAUUAGCUAGUUGGUGGGGUAAAGGCCUACCAAGGCGACGAUCUGUAGCGGGUCUGAGAGGAUGAUCCGCCACACUGGGACUGAGACACGGCCCAGACUCCUACGGGAGGCAGCAGUGGGGAAUAUUGGACAAUGGGGGGAACCCUGAUCCAGCCAUGCCGCGUGUGUGAAGAAGGCCUUUUGGUUGUAAAGCACUUUAAGCGAGGAGGAGGCGCUCUAGGCUAAUACCCUAGAUGCGUGGACGUUACUCGCAGAAUAAGCACCGGCUAACUCUGUGCCAGCAGCCGCGGUAAUACAGAGGGUGCGAGCGUUAAUCGGAUUUACUGGGCGUAAAGCGCGCGUAGGUGGCUAAUUAAGUCAAAUGUGAAAUCCCCGAGCUUAACUUGGGAAUUGCAUUCGAUACUGGUUAGCUAGAGUAUGGGAGAGGAUGGUAGAAUUCCAGGUGUAGCGGUGAAAUGCGUAGAGAUCUGGAGGAAUACCGAUGGCGAAGGCAGCCAUCUGGCCUAAUACUGACACUGAGGUGCGAAAGCAUGGGGAGCAAACAGGAUUAGAUACCCUGGUAGUCCAUGCCGUAAACGAUGUCUACUAGCCGUUGGGGCCUUUGAGGCUUUAGUGGCGCAGCUAACGCGAUAAGUAGACCGCCUGGGGAGUACGGUCGCAAGACUAAAACUCAAAUGAAUUGACGGGGGCCCGCACAAGCGGUGGAGCAUGUGGUUUAAUUCGAUGCAACGCGAAGAACCUUACCUGGCCUUGACAUACAGAGAACUUUCCAAAGAUGGAUUGGUGCCUUCGGGAACUCUGAUACAGGUGCUGCAUGGCUGUCGUCACCUCGUGUCGUGAGAUGUUGGGUUAAGUCCCGCAACGAGCGCAACCCUUUUCCUUACUUGCCAGCAUUUCGGAUGGGAACUUUAAGGAUACUGCCAGUGACAAACUGCAGGAAGCCGGGGACGACGUCAAGUCAUCAUGGCCCUUACGGCCAGGGCUACACACGUGCUACAAUGGUCGGUACAAAGGGUUGCUACACAGCGAUGUGAUGCUAAUCUCAAAAAGCCGAUCGUAGUCCGGAUUGGAGUCUGCAACUCGACUCCAUGAAGUCGGAAUCGCUAGUAAUCGCGGAUCAGAAUGCCGCGGUGAAUACGUUCCCGGGCCUUGUACACACCGCCCGUCACACCAUGGGAGUUUGUUGCACCAGAAGUAGGUAGUCUAACCUUAGGGAGGACGCUACCAC